CCCAGCGCCAGCACUCCUCCCCGCACCGCUGCAGAACGAAGCCCACCAUCACGCCCGGAGAAGAGAACGUACGGGGGCAGGCCUCAUCAAAUGUUAUAACGGUAUUCUUAAGGCUGCCCUGAAGACAGACUCUCAGUCCCUGCAGGGGUGGACGAAAAGACUGUAUGAAACCCUGUGGGAGCUGAAUGAAAGACCCUGAGACGGCAGACCCAGUGCCCUCAGGAUGCUGCAGACAAUGUGGACCACCCCGCUUAGGAUCCAAAUUACGGGCACUGAUCAUCAGAAACACCUCAGGAAUCACACAGUGAUAUCAGGUAAGACAGCUGCUAAAGAGAGAGAGAGACCCAAGAAGUAAUUCCUGCAGCGUUAACAAAAAGGAGACAUGAAGGUAAAACAAAAUCCACUGGUAACACCAAAAGAAAUGUCCCGUGAAAUUGAAAAUUGAACAUGCUGACAAUAUGCCAAGUUUCUGUCUGCAGCUGGGAUUCAAAAGUCAGCACCUCCAAGACAGCCUCGUGCUUCCUCCUGCAUUCAAAACAUCUGUCACUUAGAAGCAGCAUAUUCGAUGGCUCGUUGCUUCAUUCUGACCACUUCUCCAAAUGUGAAAAUGACAGCUGAAUUGCAACAUGUCACAUUGUGCCAUUCGAAAACACAAAGGCUGAGGACAGCAAAAGAAAAAGCACAGCAAAUUACUUUUUGCACUUCCAGGAACGUUAUUCUUUCCAGGAUCUCCGAAGUGGUUUAUUAGCAAAGUGCAUCAUAUCCUAGAGGAAAGGUCCAAAACAUCUUUUUCUCACAUGGAAUGACGUCUUGCAAGCAUCAGAAAAAUUAUAUGAAAUCUUGAUACUAGCUCCCAUUUCUACCAAGAAUCAAGAGCAAGUGUUCAUGAAGAAGGAUGAAUUCCUAUGUUUUCAAGAAUAAAACCCAGCACAUGCACAUCUGCACGUCACCUUUCAGCCUGUCACUUCACCUGGAAACCUCGAGUUGUGGCAAGACAAGCAAUGCUUUUGCAACUGCUGCCUUUACACUGGUUUCCUGUCUGGGUGACAACCCUGGUGGACAUGCAGCUUGUAGAAUCAUAGAAUAGA